UGCCAGCAGCCGCGGUAAUACGGAGGGUGCGAGCGUUGUUCGGAAUCAUUGGGCGUAAAGCGCGUGUAGGCGGCCAAUUAAGUCUGAUGUGAAAUCCCGGGGCUUAACCCCGGAAGUGCAUUGGAUACUGGCUGGCUAGAGGGCGAGAGAGGGAAGUGGAAUUCCUGGUGUAGGGGUGAAAUCCGUAGAUAUCAGGAGGAACAUCUGUGGCGAAGGCGGCUUCCUGGCUCGUUACUGACGCUGAGACGCGAAAGCGUGGGGAGCGAACAGGAUUAGAUA
rnacentral:rRNA from 1 species